UACGUAGGGUGCAAGCGUGUCCGGAAUUAUUGGGCGUAAAGAGCUCGUAGGCGGUCUGUCACGUCGGCUGUGAAAUCCCGAGGCUCAACCUCGGGUCUGCAGUCGAUACGGGCAAACUAGAGUAUUGCAGGGGAGACUGGAAUUCCUGGUGUAGCGGUGAAAUGCGCAGAUAUCAGGAGGAACACCGGUGGCGAAGGCGGGUCUCUGGGCAAUAACUGACGCUGAGGAGCGAAAGCGUGGGGAGCGAACAGG
rnacentral:rRNA from 1 species